GGGCGCGUAGUCUAGCGGUUAUGACGUCACCCUGACACGGUGAAGGUCGCCAGUUCAAAUCUGGCCGCGCCCA
rnacentral:tRNA from 1 species